UGAUAAGAUUAUGUCUUUGGUAAGGUGAUUUGUAUGUUGUCCUUAUACCCCAGUGGCGCAAGUUCGAGCCCCACGUUGCCCUAUUUUUGGGGUUUCGUUCAAACACAUGCUACAACUCUAAGAAAUUGCCAUAUCAACAAGAAAUUUAUGAGUCGUUCAACCAACCUAAGCAGUGUGUUUCUCACAAGGAUGUUGUUUAGAGAUGAAGAAUCGAUGUUGAUUAUCAGAAGGAUGUCAGAGAUGAACAAUUGGAUCUGCCUACAUUUCUUGCUUUAAGGGUUUUUGAGGUACUUCAUUUUUACGAAAGAAUGUUAGGUUUUUCAUCUCCGAUGAUGAUGAUGAUGCUGGCAGAGGAUAAGUUGAAUCGUUCGAAAGAAGUUAGCAGCAAUUCAAAUCAUGGGUCGAUAAAUGUUUUGGUUUUCUAUUUGUAUUUCUAGAGAAUUUUAGGAUAAUUCGUUGUUUUCUUAACAUUUUUUUUGUUAUUUUUGUUGAUUUCGUGGGUCAAAAUUCAGAAUGGGAUUACUCUUUUUGCAUUAACCUCUUCACUCAAUUGUAGAGGAUAAGUUGAAUCGUUUAGAAGAAGUUAGCAGCAAUUCAAAUCAUGGGUCGAUAAAUGUUUUGGUUUUCUAUUUGUAUUUCUGGAGAAUUUUAGAACAAUUCGUUGUUUUCUCAACAUUUUUUUUUGUUAUUUUUGUUGAUUUCGUGGGUCAAAAUUCAGAAUGGGUCAUUUGCAUA